rnacentral:rRNA from 1 species
GACGAACGCUGGCGGCGUGCUUAACACAUGCAAGUCGAACGGAAUAUGGGUGCUUGCAUCCAUGUUUAGUGGCAAACGGGUGAGUAACACGUGGGAACUUACCCUUCAGAGCGGGACAAGCACUGGAAACGGUGUCUAAUACCGCAUACGCCCUCAGGGGGAAAGGAGAGAUCCGCUGAAGGAGAGGCCCGCGGCAGAUUAGGUAGUUGGUGGGGUAAAAGCCUACCAAGCCGAUGAUCUGUAGCUGGUUUGAGAGGAUGAUCAGCCACACUGGAACUGAGACACGGUCCAGACUCCUACGGGAGGCAGCAGUGGGGAAUAUUGGACAAUGGGGGAAACCCUGAUCCAGCAAUGCCGCGUGAGUGACGAAGGCCUUAGGGUUGUAAAACUCUUUUCUAAGUGAAGAUGAUGACGGUAACUUAGGAAUAAGCUCCGGCUAACUUCGUGCCAGCCGCCGCAGUAA